rnacentral:rRNA from 1 species
GGUUAAGCGACUAAGCGUACACGGUGGAUGCCCUGGCAGUCAGAGGCGAUGAAGGACGUGCUAAUCUGCGAAAAGCGUCGGUAAGGUGAUAUGAACCGUUACAGCCGGCGAUGUCCGAAUGGGGAAACCCAGUGCAAUUCGUUGCACUAUCGUUAACUGAAUACAUAGGUUAACGAGGCGAACCGGGGGAACUGAAACAUCUAAGUACCCCGAGGAAAAGAAAUCAACCGAGAUUCCCCCAGUAGCGGCGAGCGAACGGGGAGCAGCCCAGAGUCUGAAUCAGCUUGUGUGUUAGUGGAACGGUCUGGAAAGUCCGACGGUACAGGGUGAUAGUCCCGUACACCAAAAUGCACAGGCUGUGAACUCGAAGAGUAGGGCGGGACACGUGGUAUCCUGUCUGAAUAUGGGGGGACCAUCCUCCAAGGCUAAAUACUCCUGACUGACCGAUAGUGAACCAGUACCGUGAGGGAAAGGCGAAAAGAACCCCGGCGAGGGGAGUGAAAAAGAACCUGAAACCGUGUACGUACAAGCAGUGGGAGCACCCUUUAGGGUGUGACUGCGUACCUUUUGUAUAAUGGGUCAGCGACUUAUAUUCUGUAGCAAGGUUAACCGUAUAGGGGAGCCGCAGGGAAACCGAGUCUUAACUGGGCGUUAAGUUGCAGGGUAUAGACCCGAAACCCGGUGAUCUAGCCAUGGGCAGGUUGAAGGUUGGGUAACACUAACUGGAGGACCGAACCGACUAAUGUUGAAAAAUUAGCGGAUGACUUGUGGCUGGGGGUGAAAGGCCAAUCAAACCGGGAGAUAGCUGGUUCUCCCCGAAAGCUAUUUAGGUAGCGCCUCGUGAACUCAUCUUCGGGGGUAGAGCACUGUUUCGGCUAGGGGGUCAUCCCGACUUACCAACCCGAUGCAAACUACGAAUACCGAAGAAUGUUAUCACGGGAGACACACGGCGGGUGCUAACGUCCGUCGUGAAGAGGGAAACAACCCAGACCGCCAGCUAAGGUCCCAAAGUCACAGUUAAGUGGGAAACGAUGUGGGAAGGCACAGACAGCCAGGAUGUUGGCUUAGAAGCAGCCAUCAUUUAAAGAAAGCGUAAUAGCUCACUGGUCGAGUCGGCCUGCGCGGAAGAUGUAACGGGGCUAAACUGUGCACCGAAGCUGCGGCAGCGACACUAUGUGUUGUUGGGUAGGGGAGCGUUCUGUAAGCCUGCGAAGGUGGCCUGUGAGGGUUGCUGGAGGUAUCAGAAGUGCGAAUGCUGACAUAAGUAACGAUAAUGCGGGUGAAAAGCCCGCACGCCGGAAGACCAAGGGUUCCUGUCCAACGUUAAUCGGGGCAGGGUGAGUCGACCCCUAAGGCGAGGCCGAAAGGCGUAGUCGAUGGGAAACAGGUUAAUAUUCCUGUACUUGGUGUUACUGCGAAGGGGGGACGGAGAAGGCUAUGUUAGCCGGGCGACGGUUGUCCCGGUUUAAGCAUGUAGGCGGAGGUUCCAGGUAAAUCCGGUACCUUUUAACGCUGAGGUGUGAUGACGAGGCACUACGGUGCUGAAGUAACAAAUGCCCUGCUUCCAGGAAAAGCCUCUAAGCAUCAGGUAACAUUGAAUCGUACCCCAAACCGACACAGGUGGUCAGGUAGAGAAUACCAAGGCGCUUGAGAGAACUCGGGUGAAGGAACUAGGCAAAAUGGUGCCGUAACUUCGGGAGAAGGCACGCUGAUAUGUAGGUGAAGCCCCUGCGGGUGGAGCUGAAAUCAGUCGAAGAUACCAGCUGGCUGCAACUGUUUAUUAAAAACACAGCACUGUGCAAACACGAAAGUGGACGUAUACGGUGUGACGCCUGCCCGGUGCCGGAAGGUUAAUUGAUGGGGUUAUCCGUAAGGAGAAGCUCUUGAUCGAAGCCCCGGUAAACGGCGGCCGUAACUAUAACGGUCCUAAGGUAGCGAAAUUCCUUGUCGGGUAAGUUCCGACCUGCACGAAUGGCGUAAUGAUGGCCAGGCUGUCUCCACCCGAGACUCAGUGAAAUUGAACUCGCUGUGAAGAUGCAGUGUACCCGCGGCAAGACGGAAAGACCCCGUGAACCUUUACUAUAGCUUGACACUGAACAUUGAGCCUUGAUGUGUAGGAUAGGUGGGAGGCUUUGAAGCGUGGACGCCAGUCUGCGUGGAGCCAACCUUGAAAUACCACCCUUUAAUGUUUGAUGUUCUAACGUUGGCCCCUUAUCGGGGUUGCGGACAGUGUCUGGUGGGUAGUUUGACUGGGGCGGUCUCCUCCCAAAGAGUAACGGAGGAGCACGAAGGUUAGCUAAUCCUGGUCGGACAUCAGGAGGUUAGUGCAAUGGCAUAAGCUAGCUUGACUGCGAGCGUGACGGCGCGAGCAGGUGCGAAAGCAGGUCAUAGUGAUCCGGUGGUUCUGAAUGGAAGGGCCAUCGCUCAACGGAUAAAAGGUACUCCGGGGAUAACAGGCUGAUACCGCCCAAGAGUUCAUAUCGACGGCGGUGUUUGGCACCUCGAUGUCGGCUCAUCACAUCCUGGGGCUGAAGUAGGUCCCAAGGGUAUGGCUGUUCGCCAUUUAAAGUGGUACGCGAGCUGGGUUUAGAACGUCGUGAGACAGUUCGGUCCCUAUCUGCCGUGGGCGCUGGAGAAUUGAGGGGGGCUGCUCCUAGUACGAGAGGACCGGAGUGGACGCAUCACUGGUGUUCGGGUUGUCAUGCCAAUGGCAUUGCCCGGUAGCUAAAUGCGGAAGAGAUAAGUGCUGAAAGCAUCUAAGCACGAAACUUGCCCCGAGAUGAGUUCUCCCUGAGACUUUAAGUCUCCUGAAGGAACGUUAAAGACGAUGACGUUGAUAGGUCGGGUGUGUAAGCGUAGCGAUACGUUGAGCUAACCGAUACUAAUGAACCGUGAGGCUUAACCUU